ensembl:lncRNA
GGAAACUGAAUGGCACUGCCGCCUCCCUCGUCUCGCUAUCACUCGUCUCUCUUUCUAUCUGUGCAUCUGAGGAAUCGGGAGCCUUUUGCCCCUCGGCGCCCGAGGAAAUAAUGAGGUGCCAACGGAGAGUCACAGCUCCACCGCUAAACAGCGAGUGCAAAAACCCAGCGAAGAUUGUGGCACAAGGAAGACGAGGCCUGAGAAACUCGUUCCACUUGGUGCUCGGGGCUCGGGGGGCGAGAUCACGCUCGAUCCUUAGCAGCAUGCCGCUGCGCAGUGCCAGCGGUGAGGCUGUGUGCCCGCCAACUCUUUUGUUUCCCUCAGAGUUGUUCCCACCUCCGGGAUCCACGCUCCACUGUUCACGUGCAACAACUGGAGCAAUUACAAGCGCAGCGAUUGCACACGAGUGUCCGUGUGUGUUUGUAAUUCGUUAAGCUCCGACAUAUCCACCCAGAGAGGGGAGGAGGAAAAAUGAAUAGGAGGAUGAUAAAAAAUGAAUAAGACACCGCGGCUUGUUUGAUCCUCUCUUGCAACCCGUGCCGUAAUUUGAAAGGGGUGGGAGAGGAGGACGAGGAUGAGGAUGAGGACGAGCAUGGAGAGAAAAAUCCAAGCAAACAAAAAUGCAUGACUACAAACCACAUGAGAAUGAGUCCCCUCAUUGGACAGAUGGAGUUUGUUUGGAACCAUACCGAGACCACCUCCUCCAAAGGAUCUUGGUGGAUCCACCUUUUGCUCUGUCUCAGACCAGCUUCAGCCACCCCCAAGACCGUAUACUGGGU